AGCUUCUCCUUUUAACUUUAGUCCAGGAAAAGCCUUUUCAGGCUGAUAAGUAAUCAGUCUCUCUCUCGUGGGAGUGUUCGGGGACCUGAACGCUCCCCCCUCACCAAGCUCCAGCUGUUUGUGGAAGUCCUUCCUUCCUCAUGAAGUCCAAGAAGACCUGUUCAUACUCUUUCCUUUGUGAUGAGUCAUGGCAAGAGUGGCAUGAAUGUCCUGUAUUUUUUGUUCUGUGGAGCUGUUGUAACAUAAGUUGGAUUUUUGCAUCGUUAUUUUAUUACUUCACACCAUUAAAUAAAUGUCACAAAGAAAUAGGCUUACUCAGUAAAUAUACUCGUUAUGGCAUCUCUUUGGGUGCAGUUGACUGAAAAGAAGGGGCAGAGGAAGAAAAGUUAACAGAAAGACAAAUCCUAUGCUUUUGUUAGUGUGAUUCUUAACAUGAUGGCUGACUAAGCUGUAGGUAUUUUCUCAUAUUUUAGAAUGUUUCUUAAUUUCUGUAUUACAAUUCAUAUUCUUAAACAAGCAACCACUCCU